AAGAGUUUUAUGUUUCAUGCUGAGUAUAUGAUAAUAGCAUGUCUUAACUCCAAGUUAAAAGUUUAAACUGUUUUUAAAAUAAGCCCUGAGUGACAUCUCAAAGCGUAAAGGCCCAGUGAAGAGGCCAGGAGACACAUAGAAGAGGGAAAGGGAUCACUGUUUUAAGAAUUCUUGUUAAGGGAGUGCCAGUGGUGUCCUUACAAGAGUGGAGUUAGGCCCAAGUUCAUAUAUCUCAGAUGGCAUGAUUUAAAAAAAAAAAAAAGGGAUAUUAUUUUAUCAAAAGAAAAAGACAUCUAAAUUAAGAAGAGUACUGAGUAGGAUUUUUCAUAAUUUGUUUUAACAACCCCUGCAACAACCUACAAAUCCUUGAAAUAACCUCCUUUUUUCAGGGACCCCCCCUUCUUUGGUAUCAGAACUUUUGUUCCGGUGCUGGUGAUUUCAGUAUAUUUCUUCAGACUUUGGAAAAGGUAUAACUCUUAUAAUAUUUAGAAAUUACUUAUUUGUUUUAUGAUUUUUAGAAUUUUACUUGUAGAUCUAGAAAAAAUAUUCUAUAGUUUUACAUUUUAUAAAGAGAUUUUUGAAUACGGUAUAGAAUUAAUUUCUCUUGAAAAAUAUAAACCUAUAGAUUAUUUAUUUGUUAUCUUACAAGUAACUAAAGAUUUACACCCAGAAUUAAAAGAACAGAUUUUAUAUAGAUCUUUAAUUUCAGAAUUUAGAGAAGAAUAUUUUAUGAAUAGUUUUGAUCAGAUAUUUAUAUCAGAUUUAAAAUUAAGAAUUGAAUUAGAUAAUAUAGAUAAUAAUUAUUUAUCAGAUAAUACAAAUUUUUCAUUAGAUUCUUUUUAUUAUUCAGAUUAGAAUUUUAAAACUGGAUCUUUUAGUAAAAGAGGUUAAUAAAUUAACUGGAGAAUUAAGUACUUUAGGAAAAAGAAUCUUUAAUAUUGAGAAAGAUAUUAAUAAAAUUCGUGAAAAUUUAGAUUUUAUUAAAGAACAAAAUUUAACAAUUUUAAACAAAAUUUCUAGAGUAGAAGAUAAAGAAAAAUUUUCAGAUCUUAAGACUACAGAAGCAAUAGAAAAUAUAAAUAAAAAAUUAAAUAAUAUAGAAAAUAAACCAAACCAAGAAGUAGAAAAUAUAAUAAAUAAGUUAGAUAGAUUAAGUUUAAAAAAUACAGGUAAAGAAAAAAUAACUAGAAAAUUAUCUACAACAUUUUAUAAAAUAUGAAUAAUUUUUCUGGUAGAUCAAGAACUAUUAGAGAAGUAGGAUCAUCUUCAGAACCCUAUGAUAGAGGUAGAUAUAGUACUUCUAAUAUAAGUACAAAUAUAAUAGAAAGAAUUUUACAUUGACAGCCUCAGUAUAAUCAAAAUAUAGAAGAACUUAUAGAUCCUGAACAAGAUUAUAAUAGAUUUCAAACUCAUGGUCUACAAUUACUUAAUCCAAAAAAUUUAUAUAAUAGAGGAAUUUUUGAAUCAAGAACCCAAUUUUUUAGACAUACUAGAGAAGUAUCAAUUCAAUGUUUAGAUGGUCAAGUAAGACAAUUAUCAUUAAUAUCAGAAGAAUCUAAAAAAGAAUUAAGAAAAAAGAAUUUUAGAUUUAUGCAUCUAGGAUUAAUAGUAAUAGGAAUUAAAGGAUUAAUGAGAAAAAAUUUAGGAAAUAAAGUUUUAUUAACUAUUUAUGAUGAAAGAAUCCAAAAUAUAGAAAAGAGUAUGAUAGCUAGUACAGAGGUAGUUAUGAAUGAUAAUAAUGGAAUUAUAUAUUGUAAUCCAGAUUUCUUAUUAAUCAUAAAAGAUUUUUCAGAAAAAAUUAAAAUAGGAAUUCAAACACAUGGAUAUGAAGAUGUUGUUUCAGGAGAAAAUUUAUUAAUAAGUAUAGAAUUUUUAGAAAGAUGUAGUAAUAAUUUUCAAACAAAAUAUAAAUUAUACAUAGAUAAAGUAAUAAAUUUAAUGAGUAGUAAAGGAAUAAAAAUGAUUAAGCCUAAAACUUAUGAUUCAGAACUUUUAGCAGGAUUAGAAUGAGAUUUAGAAAAAUUUUUAGAAACUCAAGAACCAAUUUUAGCUCCUCAAGAAGCUAUAACAUAUAAAGAUUUACAUGGAAGAACUAGUUUAAGGUUUGGAAAUUAUAGUCACAUAAAUAGAAAUAAUGAAGAAGAACAAAAAACAGAAGAAUUUCUUAAUGCAGUAGAAAUAGAAAUUGAAGACAGAAUUAUUUAUCCUAAAGAAUUAGAAAUGAAAUUAUCUCCUACAGAACUUUUAAAAUUAGAAGAUCAUUUGUUUUUAAAUAAACAAAUAGGAGAAACAGAAUAUUUAUAUUAUGAUAAUUUUAAAAAUAUAAGAUUAGGAAUUAAUAUAGAGGAAAUUGAUAAUAAAACAGAAAUUUCACAGGAUAGUAAUUAUAAGGAAUUAGCAGAUGAAAUUAUGCAAAUUAAAAUAGAACCAGAACAAUACCAAUAUCUGGGUGGUCAUCCUCCCAGAAUACCUUAUACAAAUUAUAAUGAUAAAGAAAGAAAUUAUAUAGCUAGAGGAAAAGUUAGACCUUUAGAACCUAAAAUAGANAGUCCAAUGGAUCUUAAACAGAAAAGCCCAAUUAAUUUUCCAGAAUCAUUUCAAUCAGCUCAAGAUCCAGAACAGAUUUCUCAAUCAGAUAUUAGAAGAAUCAAAGAAAUGUUUGAUAAGAUUGAAGAAAUACAGCAACAAGUUAAACAAAGUACUACAAAGAAAAAGAAAAUACAGAUUAAAAAGAAAAAUAAAGGCAAAAAGAAAAUUGAACAAGAAAAAGACUUGGAUAAUUUUGAAGACAAUAAUUCAGAAGAAGAUGAUAAUCCAGAAGGUUGUACUGAUGGAGGAGACUCUUUAGACAGCAUUGGCAGACAUAAUUAUAAAACAAGAUAAGGAUUUUAGUCUAAAGAAGACAUUUGGCAAAAAGUUACAGUGAUUUUCAGACUAGACUCAACCAUUUGAAGACGUUUGUCCAGAUCUCAUGAAAAGAUCAAGAAUUAUUGUACAAAAAGAAGAAUCUUUACUGUUUUCUUUUUGAAAAAAUUUGUAAAGAAUCUUACUGUUUGAUAAAGUAAGAUUUGAUAGUAUAGCUUUUUACUGUUUUCUUUUUGACGUUUUGAAAAAAGCAAAGAUUCCUUGCUUUUGAAAAACGCUUCCUCUUUCUUUUCUCUCCUAUAGCUUUUUACUGUUUUCUUUUUGACGUUUUGAAAAAAGCAAAGAUUCCUUGCUUUUGAAAAACGCUUCCUCUUUCUUUUCUCUCCUAUAAAAGGAGAACAUUCUUUCAUUUGUAAAGACACAAGAAAAUAUAUACAGUACAAGUUUUUAUUUCUCUGAAAUAUGUUCUAAUCUUCUUUCUUUUCCGAAAGGGAAAUUCUUUAUUGUUCUUAUUCUUAGAUAGAAUAAUAUCCCACAAAAAUAUGUUGUUUUAAAAACUACCAAUGGAUCAUUUCGGUAGGCAUGCUUUAUAGUUCUAAGAUAUGGUGCUAAUAGUUAAUAUUAGUUCCAGAUCUUGUAAGAACAAUUUUUGUUCAUAAAAUUUUCAUUUUGUAAAAGUUUUAUGAUUUUUGUAAAGAGUUUUAUGUUUCAUGCUGAGUAUAUGAUAAUAGCAUGUCUUAACUCCAAGUUAAAAGUUUAAACUGUUUUUAAAAUAAGCCCUGAGUGACAUCUCAAAGCGUAAAGGCCCAGUGAAGAGGCCAGGAGACACAUAGAAGAGGGAAAGGGAUCACUGUUUUAAGAAUUCUUGUUAAGGGAGUGCCAGUGGUGUCCUUACAAGAGUGGAGUUAGGCCCAAGUUCAUAUAUCUCAGAUGGCAUGAUUUAAAAAAAAAAAAAAGGGAUAUUAUUUUAUCAAAAGAAAAAGANUACAAAGAAUUAAUAGAUGAAAUUAUGCAAAUUAAAAUAGAACCAGAACAAUACCAAUAUCUGGGUGGUCAUCCUCCCAGAAUACCUUAUACAAAUUAUAAUGAUAAAGAAAGAAAUUAUAUAGUUAGAGGAAAAGUUAGACCUUUAGAACCUAAAAUAGAAUUUCAGACACCACAUAAACCACAGAUAUUAAACAUUACAGCACAUGACCCUCAAACUUGAAAUAAUAUAAUAGAAGUAUGAAAGAAUACAAUAUUAGGCCAUUAUAUUAGAUCAGCAGAUAAUAUGGAAUCAUUAGAAAUGUAUAGAUAUUUAGAAACAUUUUUAGGAGAAAGUGCUAAAGCUACAUGGGAAGCUUUUAAGAAAAAUAAACAAACAAAAUUUGAAGCAUUAGUAGCAUUAGGAAAUAAUCCUUAUAAUUUUUUUAGUAAGAUACAUGAAUUAUUAACAGGAGCAGAUCCAAAUACAGGACAUAUAAUAAUUCAAAAUAAAGCUAUUAGAAAUCUUGAACAACUUAGCUUAAAUAGAUGGACUAAAGGCAAAGAAGUUAAACAAUUUUUAAAUGAAUAUCAUUAUCUUGUUUCUAUAUCAGGUAAUACUUUUAAUCAAGAAUUAGGUAAAAAAUUAUUUCAUAAAUUACCAGGUCCCUUAGGAUUAGAAAUAACAAAAAAGUGGAAUGAAAAUAAGAAUGUUAUAGAAAGACCAGAUCAUUUAUGGAGUAUAGGAAUAAGAACACAAUUCAUAAUGCAAUGUUUAGAAGAAAAAUGUGUUGAAUUACAAAUUCAGAAUCAACUAAAAAAGAUAGAUUAUAAAUUUUGUAAAGAUAUUUUUACACCUCAGACUUAUGAUAAUAAUUUUAGAGAAAUGAAUAAAAGAAAAUAUGAUAAAAGGAAAACUAGUCAACCUUUUAAGAAAAGAUAUUAUCUUAGAAAAUCUAAUAGAAGAAAGCCUUAUUUAGAUGAAAAUAGAUAUGUCAGAAAAUUUAAACCAGAAAGAAAUUAUCCUAAUAAACUAAAUUGUUAUGUUUUUGGAGAAACAGAUCAUUUAGCUAAGACAUGUCCAAAAAAGAUAAAUAAUAAUGAUAAAAGAAGUAUUCUAGUAGAAUGUACUAAUGAAGAUUUGCUAGAAAUAGAUGAAUAUAUUUCAGAUAAAGAGUCAGUAUAUAGUAUUAUAUCAAUAGAAGAUUAUAAUAAUAAUUGUAAUCUAGAAGAACAAUCAGAUUAUGAAAAUUUUAUACAAGAAUUUUCAAAUAUUAAAAAUUUAUCAGAUUCAGAUGAAGAAUUAGAAUUUAUGGAUAUAGAAUUAGAAUGUAAACAUAAAUGGAUAAAAGAAACAGAUUCAGAUAGUAUACUAUGUUUUUUAUGGAAAUGGUAUCCUAGUAAAAAAUUAAGAGUUAAAUGUAAAGAUUGUUUUUUAGAAGUAUGUAAAAAAUGCUUAAUACAAAAAGAUUUAGUAGAAUUUGAAGAGGAUAAUCAGAAUGAUAAAAAUAUUAAGAAAAAGAAUAGAAAACUUAGAAGAUAUGCAAAGAUAUAUUUUACAGAAAUUAGAACUUUUGGAAUUAAAUAAAAAAGGAAAAAACCCAGAAAUUACUCUUGAACCAGAAUUAGUUCAAGUUUUUUGUAAUUCUGAAAAAUUAAAAAGUAUUAAAGUAAAAUGUUAUGUUAGAAUAGAAAAUUUUGAAAUAAUUUGGUAAGGUUUAAUAGACUCAGGAUGUAGUCAUUGUGUAAUUAAUAAAAGAAUUAGACCAGAAAAAUAUAUAAUAAAGUCAAAAGAACCUAUAGAAGCCCAACAAAUGGAUGAGAAUUUUUAUAGUUAUCAAGAUAUCCUUAAACCAGCAAGAAUUAGUUUUGAGACUAAUUGUGGAAGGAGUACAUAAUAUAGUUUACCUAAAGACUCAGUAUGUGUAAGAGAAUUAUCUUUAAAUACAGACUUAAUUUUAGGAUUAAGUUUUUUGUUAAAAGAUAAUGGUAGUAUAAUAAUUAGUAAAGAUUAUAUGCAAUUACAAAAAUUUACAAUUUGUGCACCUACUUAUACUAAGAUUAUUCCAUCAGAGUAUGCUGAGAAGCGUGGUGGGAUUAUAGAAAAAGAAUGUGAGUGCAGUAGAGAAAGAGAAUGUCAAUUAAUAGAAAAAGAAUUAGAAAUUUUUUUAGAAUAAUAUUAUGAAAACUUUAAGGAAGAAGAAGAAAUAUGUUUAGAUUUUGUAAAAAUUGAAAAAAUAUAUAAUUUGUUAGUAACAGAACAAGAUAUAGAAAACAUGAUUAGUAAACUAGAAAAAUUAGAAAUUUUAGGAGAAAAUGUAUUAAAAUAUUGGGAAAAAAAUAAAGUUUUUUAUGAAAUAAAAAUAAAAAAUCCAGAAUAUAUAAUUAAGACAAAAAAUAUUGAAGCUACAAACCAAGAUCAGGAAGAUUUUAAGAUGCAUAUAAAAGAUUUAUUAAAAUUAGAAGUAAUUAAAAAAUCAGAAAGUUCACAUAGAUCAGCAGCUUUUAUAGUUAGAAAACAUUCAAAAAUUAUUAGAGGAAAAAGUAGAAUGGUAAUUAAUUAUAAAAGAUUAAAUGAUAAUACAAUAGAUGAUGCUUAUAAUAUUCCAGAUAAGACAGUUUUAAUAAAUAAGAUUCAAGAUUGUAAUUUUUUAGUAAGUUUGAUUUAAAAUCUGAUUUUUGGCAAGUAAAAAUGCACCCAGAUUCAAUAGAAUGGAUAGUCUUCACUAGCCCAGAAGGACAUUUUGAAUGUUUAGUUAUGCCAUUUGGAUUAAAAAAUGCCCCUAGUAUUUUUCAAAGAAAAAUGGAUAGUAUUUUUAGUAAGCAUAAUAAAUUUAUCAUAGUUUAUAUAGAUGAUAUUUUAGUAUUUAGUAAAAAUAGGCGAGAACAUAGAGGUCAUUUACAAAUUCUUUUUUCAGAAUUUAUUAAACAUGGUUUAAUUAUAAAUAAAAAGAAAAUGUUUUUAUUUAAAGAAUAUAUAGAAUUUUUAGGAGUAAAUAUAGGAAAAGGAAAAAUAGAGUUACGACCUCAUAUAGCUCAAAAAGUUUUAGAUUUUCCAGAUAAACUUAAUAUCUUAAGCAGUUACAAAAAAUUUUAGGAUUAGUUAAUUAUGCUAGACCCUUUAUUAAAGAUUUAGGAAAAAUUGUAGGACCCUUAUAUGGAAAAAUUUCACCAAAAGGUCAAAGAUAUUUUAAUAUAGAAGAUAUUAAAUUAGUCCAAAAAAUAAAAGAGAAAUUAAAAGAUUUACCUAAAUUAUCUAUGCCAUUAGAAACAGACUAUUUAAUUAUAGAAACAGAUGGAAGUAUAACAGGAUGGGGAGCAAUUUUAAUUGCAAAACCCAAUAAAUAUGUAAAUAAGGAUGGUGAAAAAAUUGUAAGAUAUAAUAGUGAAAACUAUAAAGAAAAAGGUAAUAUAAGUAGCAUAGACUUAGAAUUACUUGCAGUUAAUUAUGCAUUAGAUUUUUUUGAAUUAUUUAUUAUUUUUAAAAAAGAAAUUACUUUAAGAACAGAUUGUGAAGUAAUAGUAAGUUUUGUUAAUAAAAUGAAAUUAGAAAAUAAAAGAAGUAAUCGAAGAAGAUGGUUAAAUUUUAUAGAUAGAAUUACUAAUACUGAUUAGUAAUUAAUUUUGAAUAUAUUAAAGACAGUGAUAAUCAGAUAGCAGAUAUUUUAAGUAGAAUAAUUAAAAAUAAAGAAUAUGAUUGAUUAUUUCUUUUAGAAUUUGCAGAUGCAAAGACCAAGAGGUCCCAGGUCAGGAUUGCCAACAAUUGGCAGUUCAAGUUCAUCAUUAUUUCAGACUAAUUUAGCAUAGACUCAUGACAAGUUAAGAUUUGGUAAUGUAGAAUUACUUUGUUUUCCAAACAGUAAUAUUAGCUUUAAGACAUUAUCUCAUAUUUCAGUUACA
rnacentral:lncRNA from 1 species